AUGGGGUGGAUCCACGUGGGAGGGCUCUGGGCGGCCGUGACCCUGCUGGAGUCCGGGGGGGACCUCCAGCCCCCCGGGGGGUCCCUGCGCCUCCUCUGCCGAGGGUCCGGGUUCAGUUUUGGGAGCUACUCCAUGUACUGGAUCCGCCAGAGACCUGGGCAGGCACUGGAAUACAUCGCAGACAUCAGUAGCAGUGGCAGCACCUACUACGCGCCAUCGGUGCAGGGCCGGUUCACGAUCUCCAGGGACAACGGGCAGAGCUCGGUGACGCUGACCAUGAACAACCUCAAGGACGAGGAUUCCGCCGUCUAUUUCUGCGCCAAAACUGCUUAUACUGGUUGCUCUUAA